UCCGGUUGAUCCCGGCAGAGGUUACUGCUAUCGAGGUUCGACUAAGCCAUGCGAGUCGAAUGUAGCAAUACAUGGCGUACUGCUCAGUAACACGUGGACAACCUACCCUGAGGUCGGGGAUAAACCCGGGAAACUGGGUAUAAUACCCGAUAGAUCUAGAUUGCUGGAAUGCUUUUAGAUCUAAAGUUCCGACGCCUCAGGAUGGGUCUGCGGCCUAUCAGGGUAGUAGUGGGUGUAAAGUACCUACUAGCCUACGACGGGUACGGGUUGUGAGAGCAAGAGCCCGGAGAUGGAUUCUGAGACACGAAUCCAGGCCCUACGGGGUGCAGCAGGCGCGAAACCUUUACAAUGCUGGCAACAGCGAUAAGGGGACCUCGAGUGCUACGAUACAAUCGUGGCUGUCUAGUUGCCUAAAAAGCAAUUGAUAGCAAGGGCCGGGCAAGACCGGUGCCAGCCGCCGCGGUAACACCGGCGGCUCGAGUGGUAACCGCUAUUAUUGGGUCUAAAGGGUCUGUAGCCGGCUUAGUUAGUCUCUUGAGAAAUCUGGCCGCUCAACGGUCAGGCGUUCAGGGGAUACUGCUAAAGCUCGAGACCGGGAGAGGUGAGAGGUACUUCAGGGGUAGGGGUGAAAUCUUGUAAUCCUUGAAGGACCACCAGUGGCGAAGGCGUCUCACCAGAACGGAUCUGACGGCAAGGGACGAAAGCUAGGGGCACGAACCGGAUUAGAUACCCGGGUAGUCCUAGCCGUAAACGAUACUCGCUAGGUGUCGGCCACGGUGCGACCGUGGUCGGUGCCGUAGGGAAGCCGUGAAGCGAGCCACCUGGGAAGUACGGCCGCAAGGCUGAAACUUAAAGGAAUUGGCGGGGGAGCACUACAACGGGUGGAGCUUGCGGUUUAAUUGGAUUCAACGCCGGAAAUCUUACCGGGGCCGACAGCGAUAUGAAGGCCAGGCUAAGGACCUUGCCUGAUUAGCUGAGAGGUGGUGCAUGGCCGUCGUCAGUUCGUACUGUGAAGCAUCCUGUUAAGUCAGGCAACGAGCGAGACCCA
rnacentral:rRNA from 1 species